ACACACCUCUCUCUCUUUUCUCUUCACCAUUUCCUCAAAUUGAGAGAUACCCAAAAUCGACCAAAAGGGGAAAUCCCCAAAUUGAGGAACCCCUCAAUUCCCGUCGCCAUCCUCAACUCGCCGGAGUUGGCGACUGCCACUGCCACCGUUGGGUCCUCUGCACCUCGAUUUCCAUCUCCAGAAUCAGCCACCGCCGUCGUCUCCUUUGCGGAAAAACGCCGACGCAGCGAGGGGGGGACGGGCAGACGUUGCUCAGCCGCUGUCGCUGAAAUUCCGCCGUCGCCGCCGUGGUUAAUCAGCCGCUGCUGUCCCGAAACACUCCGAUUCGACCCGAAUCAACUCCGAACAGCCCCGAAAUCAACCCGAACAGCCCCGCACAACCCCGAAAGAUAAGUUUCAUUACUAUUAUGUUCCUUUCGCAACUUCAGAUUAAUCACAACGGGUGUUCAAUUGUAAUGUUCGGUUUGUCAUUGAUUGUGUUGUUUGAUCGGUGAUACUUGUUGACUGAAUUAUGUGGGAAAUCUAACGAAAUUAUUGGGAUGAUUAGAGUAUAUAGUUGGAUUAUCUUAGAUAGUAUGUAUGUAUUUGAAGUAUACCAGUAGAAAUCUUGUUGCAGUGAAGGAAAUUAAGGAAACAGCUACUGUACCCUGUUCUGGCAGCAUGUUACAAGUGCUGUUUAACCAAGUAAACGACCUCAUUUUCUUACCAAAUUUUAAUUGAACAUACUUUUAUGUGUCUUCUGCCAUGUGACCAAAAUUAAGCUUCAUCCGAGUUCAAAUGAAUUUAUAGUGAUUUUUGUAAUGAGACUGCCCCUGUUCUGCCAGGUUUGAAUAAAACAGACAUAAACCCUAAACAAAUUAGAAUUUGAAGUCCAAAGUUAAUCCCCAUAAAAUAGACAGUCAUGGAUUUUAUUUUCAUCGGGUUACGUUGAAUUUCGACUUCGUUGUUGACCAGAAUGAUUUUUCAAAGUCGGUGUAAAUUCUGUAAAAUCUUGGGACAUGAUAAAAGUUGAAAUGCUUAUGCUUUAACCUUAUUUUGGACAAGUAUAUGAAGAUACAUUUCCUAAUGUGAAAUCUUGAAGGAGAAAUAGUUGUUUUUGACUAAUCUAAUGUUUUGUAGUAUACAUGCAUAAAUAAUAGACAAGAAUUAUGAAAUUAAGUUAGAAAAUAAUGGUUAACUGUAUGAAUUUGAUACUUUAUAUGCGAGAGCGAAAUAUAUAUUGAAGGGUAAUCCUACCCCAGGAAAUAACAAGGACAAGGACAAGGAGCAGGAAUAAAGGGAUUCGUGUGUCAAGGGCGUUUUGGAUUUCGAGGAUUCAUGAACUACCAUAUUGUUAACCAGAUCGAUGAGAUGUCCAUGAUUCUAAAUUUCCUUUCUCACUUCGUUAGCUCAUUGAGAGUGUGGUGAUAACACCUUUUUUGUUUUGAAUAUGCGAUCAUUGAGUUAAUACAUUCUUGAAUUAUUACUAUUAUUUCACAUUUGUUGUUUCGGACCCUCCAACGUGCUUGCCUAUUACUGAGCCUAUAAGAUAAUUAGAGAAAGAGAUUUUUCCCUGAUAGUACUGUUACCUUGGAGAAAUUAUCUUCUUUGAUUAAUUCCUCAUAAUCGUAUCAUUUUGAGUCACCUAAACAUUGAUUGUUUACUUAUCUACCACCACUGUGUCAUUAUUUUCUAUACCGAGUUUGGAGCUACUUGUAGUUUAUGUGAAACCUGAUUCUGACCCUUGAAACUUGGAAUUCUUUUGGUUGAACCUUCUGUCCUUCGUGAUUUAUUGUCUCUAAUGACAAUAAUCCUUUACUUGUGUGCUUUUGCCACUAAAUUUUGUUGUUGAAGUUGUUCGAGCUUAUGUCUGUUAUAUUGACAAAGCCUCUUUGAUAGUUGUUUUUAAGAGAUGACACAGUAACGAUAAUAUCUUUGGUGACCCCUUCGAUAUAAAUUAUUGGCGUUCUUUCCUGCCGAAAUUACACUGAUUCCUUUGCCUAACCCUAUUGUUUAAAUUGUCUUCUAUCUCGAGACCUUUCUGCAACUUGAGAUUUAAGUUGAUGUUUUACCUUUGUCUCCAAUAACUCUGCUUCAAUCAUCAUCUUUAUGAGUUAUUUUUCUUCGAACUAUCUUCGAAACAUAUGGACCCAGCCAAUGAUAUGAUUUGUAUGUUCCUAUUGUUUCUUAACCAUGAUAUUUGUUAACUUCAGACCAGAUGUGACUAAGAGAAUAUGCUAACCAGUCAUUGUUCUAUUGAAAUUUUAACACCUCAAUCGUGAUUUUCUGACCUUUAGAUUAUUGACAAUUCGCUUAUGUCCUACAGAUGCUUAAAUUGUUCUGAAAGGUAAUAAAUAUCUAAUUAUGGAGCAAAGUUUCCAUGUGACUGAGAAAGCAGUUAAGUGGAACAGGCCACUCCAUGUAACUCGAAUCUCAGUAGCGUCCUUCUUUGAUAAACCGAUGGGUUUUAACUUUGAAGUCAUUUCAUUGGACUUAUUGUCAUUUCAUUCUUACCAUCGGUUACCUUUUCCAAGCUUGUUCGUUAAUUAUUUGAUGAAAUCUAUUGAUCAGUCACUCUACUACAAUGUAUUAAAGGGAUCAUCUAUUUUCUCAUCAUUGUUGUUUCCUGUUGAUUUUCCAUUCCAUGGAAUUUGUGAAUCAACUCUUCCAAUUGGUAUCUUCAUGUCUUUAUCCGAAAUAUCUUUUUGUGAUAUCAUAUUCGUUGAACAUCUGAGAUGGUCAAUCUCUGAAUUUUCUUUUGAAGAUCAAGUUUAACCACUUAUAAUACACUUGAGGCAUCCAAUGAGUUAAUGAUCCAUUUUUUUUUACUCAAUAAUUUCCUCAAUCAUGUGAACCGGAUUAACCAGUCUCUGUGUCUUGUCAUCUAAUAUUUCUCGUACAUCUGCACUAGAAAGUCAUGCCUUGAUGGAUUUCUUUGUAUCUGCGUUUGGAUCACCCUAUCCAGGAUCUUCUGUUUUGGAUUACUAGGAGGCAAUAUGUGUCUCCAUACCUAUUUCUUCUGUAAUGUGUAACCUUCUAUUAUUUUAUAUUGUUCUGUACCCUUGCCUAUUGGAGUUAGUGAUAUUUUUGACCAUCUGAUGUUAGUUUCUGCUACCAGAACUUCUAUCAAAGAUAAAUUGAUUGUCUUGUCGGUAAGUUUCUUAUGAUCAUUUCUGAAUAAUCCACUCGAGAUAUCGAGGUAUUUUCUAAACUUUCUCUCUGGUGAAUAGUGUCUCUAUGUUUGCAUUUGAAUUGGAUGUCUUGUGGCUCUUAUAUUACAAACAUCGCUUUUGGUGAAGUAUGGUUUGCAUUUCUCUGUCCUUGAACAAUCCAAUCUCUUUGACAAUCUUUGCAAUUUCCUCUCCCCAAAUGUAUAUCACGUGCUAUCUUUGAAUCAAUCAUUUACUUUAUAUAAAGUUCUCAUUUCUUUCUUGAGAGCGAGUUGUUCGAUCGGAAAUGGAACAGACUUAAAAAAAAAUUCUACAUUUGUUAUGUUAUGAAAGUUCUUGAGGUUCAUUCGAAUCUGAAUUGUGAUAAACCUAUAAUUUGUGCUUACUGAGGCCAAUCCUUGAGCCUACGAUGAUCGGAUCUGAAAUUAUCUUGCAAAACUAAUUGUUGGUGAGAGAUUGUGACUUGUGACAAACUGGAGAUUUAAAACUCUUGAGUUCAUGUUGGUUUGGUUACUAUGAUUUAAUAUCUUUGAACUACUAUAAUAGUGAUUGGCUUACAGAAACAUCACUACAUGCUUAUGUGAUCAUUUGUGAUUCUGCUAUCUGAAGUUAAUAAGAUUUGAGGGAAAAAUAUAUAUAUAUAUAUAUAUAUAUAUAUAUAUAAAUUCUCAUAUCAAUGCUAAUUGUUCUGUUGUCUUUAAUGUGGUGGGCUUGGCUAAGACUAACUUUUGCAUGAAUUGGAUAUAAAAUUACCUUGAGAGAAUAUGAUAUGAAAGCAAUAUUCUAUAUCUUCGAUUCGGGUAUCAAUUUCGAGGACGAAAUUUCCUAAGGGGGGGAGAGUUGUAACGCCGCGAAUUUUAAAAAAAAUAAAUUUUAAUUAGUUCAAAUGCGUCGGAAGUUGUAGAUAAAUUAAAUUCUAGAGGUGUGUAGAUAGUUUCUUAUUAUGUGAAUUAUUUGUUUGUGUGGUGUUUUUUGUUAGAAAUAGAGAAAGAAUAAAAGAAAAGAAAGAAAGGAAAUAAAGAAAUAAGAAAAGAAAAAGAAAUUGGAUAAGGGAAUGAGAUUUUUUUUAUCUCAAUUCCCCACUUACGGGAACCUUCUACACACACCUCUCUCUCUUUUCUCUUCACCAAUUCCUCAAAUUGAGAGAUACCCAAAAUCGACCAAAAGGGGAAAUCCCCAAAUUGAGGAAAACCCUCAAUUCCCGUCGCCAUCCUCAACUCGCCGGAGUUGGCGACUGCCACUGCCACCGUUGGGUCCUCUGCACCUCGAUUUCCAUCUCCAGAAUCAGCCACUGUCGUCGUCUCCUUUGCGGAAAAACGCCGACGCAGCGAGGGGGGGACGGGCAGACGUUGCUCAGCCGCUGUCGCUGAAAUUCCGCCGUCGCCGCCGUGGUUAAUCAGCCGCUGCUGUCCCGAAACACUCCGAUUCGACCCGAAUCAACUCCGAACAGCCCCGAAAUCAACCCGAACAGCCACGCACAACCCCGAAAGAUAAGUUUCAUUACUAUUAUGUUCCUUUCGCAACUUCAGAUUAAUCACAACGGGUGUUCAAUUGUAAUGUUCGGUUUGUCAUUGAUUGUGUUGUUUGAUCGGUGAUACUUGUUGACUGAAUUAUGUGGGAAAUCUAACGAAAUUAUUAGGAUGAUUAGAGUAUAUAGUUGGAUUAUCUUAGAUAGUAUGUAUGUAUUUGAAGUAUACAAGUAGAAAUCUUGUUGCAGUGAAGGAAAUUAAGGAAACAGCUACUGUGCCCUGUUCUGGCAGCAUGUUACAAGUCCCGUUUAACCAAGUAAACGACCUCAUUUUCUUACCAAAUUUUAACUCAACAUACUUUUAUGUAUCUUCUGCCAUGUGACCUAAAUUCAGCUUCAUCCGAGUUCAAAUGAAUUUAUAGUGAUUUUUGUAAUGAGACUGCCCCUGUUCUGCCAGGUUUGAAUAAAACAGACAUAAACCCUAAACAAAUUAGAAUUUGAAGUCCAAAGUUAAUCCCCAUAAAAUAGACAGUCAUGGCUUUUAUUUUCAUCGGGUUACGUUGAAUUUCGACUUCGUUGUUGACCAGAAUGAUUUUUCAAAGUCGGUGCAAAUUCUGUAAAAUCUUGGGACAUGAUAAAAGUUGAAAUGCUUAUGCUUUAACCUUAUUUUUGGACAAGUAUAUGAAGAUACAUUUCCUAAUGUGAAAUCUUGAAGGAGAAAUAGUUGUUUUUGACUAAUCUAAUGUUUUGUAGUAUACAUGCAUAAAUAAUAGACAAGAAUUAUGAAAUUAAGUUAGAAAAUAAUGGUUAACUGAAUGAAUUUGAUACUUUAUAUGCGAGAGCGAAAUAUAUAUUGAAGGGUACCCCAGGAAAUAACAAGGACAAGGACAAGAAGCAGGAAUAAAGGGAUUCGUGUGUCAAGGGCGUUUUGGAUUUCGAGAUUAGCACUUUCGAUUUACGGCUGCUCAAGUCGGGUCACUAGCCAACCUUUUUGUGUUCAGAAAACUCUUUCGGAUAUGUUAGAUGUGGCAUGUAUAGCAAGUGUAAUAUAGUUAAGACGUUUCAUUUA